GAUGAACGCUAGCGGCAAGCUUAAUACAUGCAAGUCGUGGGGCAGCAGGGGUGUAGCAAUACAUUCGCUGGCGACCGGCAAACGGGUGCGUAACACGUACGCAACCUUCCUGUUACUGGGGAAUAGCCCAGGGAAACUUGGAUUAAUACCCCAUAUUAUAUUGGUUAGGCAUCUGACUGAUAUCAAAGCUUCGGCGGUAACAGGUGGGCGUGCGGUUGAUUAGGUAGUUGGCGGGGUAACGGCCCACCAAGCCUACGAUCAAUAGCUGAUGUGAGAGCAUGAUCAGCCACACGGGCACUGAGACACGCGCCCGACUCCUACGGGAGGCAGCAGUAAGGAAUAUUGGGCAAUGGACGAAAGUCUGACCCAGCCAUGCCGCGUGAAGGAUGAAGGUCCUCUGGAUUGUAAACUUCUUUUAUCUGGGGCGAAAAUCGGUUAUUCUUAGCCGCUUGACAGUACCAGAGGAAUAAGCACCGGCUAACUCCGUGCCAGCCGCCGCGGUAAGAC
rnacentral:rRNA from 1 species